GAGUUUGAUCGUGGCUCACGACGAACGCUGGCGGCGUGCUUAACACAUGCAAGUCGAACGGUAAGGCUCCAGCUUGCUGGGGUACACGAGUGGCGAACGGGUGAGUAACACGUGGGUGACCUGCCCUGCACUUCGGGGAUAAGCCUGGGAAACUGGGUCUAAUACCGGAUAGGACCGCACCGUGAGGGUGUGGUGGAAAGUUUUUUCGGUGUGGGAUGGGCCCGCGGCCUAUCAGCUUGUUGGUGGGGUAACGGCCGUACCAA
rnacentral:rRNA from 1 species